CUUUGGGUUGUAAACUGCUUUUAUAUAGGAAGAACUGUAGAGACUUGUCUUUAUUUGACGGUACUAUAUGAAUAAGGACCGGCUAACUACGUGCCAGCAGCCGCGGUAAUACGUAGGGUCCGAGCGUUAUCCGGAAUUAUUGGGUUUAAAGGGUCCGUAGGCGGGCCUAUAAGUCAGAGGUGAAAUCUUGCAGCUUAACUGUAAAAUUGCCUUUGAUACUGUAGGUCUUGAGUGUGAAUGAAGUGGGCGGAAUGAGAUGUGUAGCGGUGAAAUGCUUAGAUAUGUCUCAGAACACCGAUUGCGAAGGCAGCUCACUAAGCCACAACUGACGCUGAGGGACGAAAGCGUGGGUAGCGAACAGGAUUAGAUACCCUGGUAGUCCACGCUGUAAACGAUGUUCACUAGACGUCGGGGGUUAGGCCUCCGGUGUCGCAGCUAACGCAUUAAGUGAACCGCCUGGGGAGUACGGCCGCAAGGUUAAAACUCAAAGGAAUUGACGGGGGCUCACACAAGCGGUGGAGGAUGUGGCUUAAUUCGAGGCAACGCGAAGAACCUUAUCCCGGACUUGACAUCUAUGGAUUAGCAUUGUGAAAGCAGUGUGACGCCUUCGGGUGGAACAUAGACAGGUGCUGCAUGGCUGUCGUCAGCUCGUGCCG
rnacentral:rRNA from 1 species